GAUGAAGAACGCAGCGAAAUGCGAUAAGUAAUGUGAAUUGCAGAAUUCAGUGAAUCAUCGAAUCUUUGAACGCACCUUGCACCCUUUGGUAUUCCGAAGGGUAUGCUCGUUUGAGUGUCAUUGUACUCUCACACUUCUAAUUCCUUUCGGGAUUGGGAGCGGUGGACUUGGGUGUUGCUGCUUUAGUUGUGGCUCACCUCAAAUAAGUUAGUGCAACUCUUGGUUGGACAUAGUACGGCGUGAUAAGUGUCUUCGCCGGCGCCUCUGUAAGGAGGGUGGCCGAUCGGGAGCUCUGUGCUUCAAACCGUCUUCGGACAAUCUUUGACAACUUGACCUCAAAUCGAGUAGGACUACCCGCUGAACUUAAGCAUAUCAAAAGCGGAGGA
rnacentral:misc_RNA from 1 species